AGUGAACGCUGGCGGUAGGCCUAACACAUGCAAGUCGAACGGCAGCACAGUAAGAGCUUGCUCUUACGGGUGGCGAGUGGCGGACGGGUGAGGAAUACAUCGGAAUCUACUUUUUCGUGGGGGAUAACGUAGGGAAACUUACGAUAAUACCGCAUACGACCUACGGGUGAAAGCAGGGGAUCUUCGGACCUUGCGCGAUUGAAUGAGCCGAUGUCGGAUUAGCUAGUUGGCGGGGUAAAGGCCCACCAAGGCGACGAUCCGUAGCUGGUGUGAGAGGAUGGUCAGCGACACUGGAACUGAGACACGGUCCAGGCUCCUACGGGAGGCAGCAGUGGGGAAUAUUGGACAGUGGGCGCAAGCCUGGUCCAGCCAUACCGCGUGGGUGAAGAAGGCCUUCGGGUUGUAAAGCCCUUUUGUUGGGAAAGAAAAGCAGCAGGUUAAUACCCCGCUGUUCUGACGGUACCCGAAGAAUAAGCACCGGCUAACUUCGUG
rnacentral:rRNA from 1 species